CAUGGGACAUGUAGGCGCAUCUAGUUGCUCAGGUCUUUCUUUGGCUCUAUAAGUCAUCCCCGACUCUCAGUCCUAGAUAGCUCCAACACCGGCUCGUAGAGAGCUCCACCACCGGUUCCUCAUCAGGCACCUCUGGUUGCAGGCUUGCAGCACCGGUUGCUCCCCCUGCGGCUCCGGAUGUGCCUCCUGCACAUGCAGCGCCCCUGGCACCUGCGGAUGGACUUCAUCUGGAUUUGAUUGUGCCUACAGAAGCUACAUAUGCCCGAUAUAAUUGAGAAUCUUCUCGUCCAUCCGAGACGAUAAGGUUUAGAUGUAUUGGAUCCCGAUCUACCGAGAGACACUUUCUGGUUUGAAGUCGACGGUUGGGUGGCACAGAGCCGCAUCCCAGUUGAAGUUUGAAACCCGUGCACAUUAGGACCAUGUGAUUCAAUUUUUUUGAGAAAAAAACGGCACGAAAAGGUAAAUGCCAAUGUUCACUGGUAAGGCGAAUACACGCUUAGAAAACAUGGUCUCCGACUGGAAGGAGUUUUGGGAGUUCAAAGGAGAUGAAACGAAACUCACCCUCAUCGCCGUUGGAAACCUGAAGAUGAAACGGAUGUUGGAGCUUAGGCGCUGCAACCUCGGGAUUCCAGAUCCACCACACCGCUCCACGGAGGAACACGUGGAUUUAGAGUGAAGAACCGAAGUCACCAGCUUGGAAUUCUUAGAAGACAUCAACCU